rnacentral:antisense_RNA from 1 species
UUGAGAGCAGGGCAGCGCAUGGCGAGUGAGUGUAACCACGGUUGACAACACCACCUGCUUUUUUGAGGACAGUGAAGGACUCCACAAGUGCCGGCCUUGGUUCUGCUGUACUUGCAGCUGUCACGGGAUCUGAAGCCAGCCCACUGCUUUCACAGAAUGAAGCUCCAGCUCAUCCACCCAGAUGCCAAGAACCAGGACACCCUCAACCAGUAACACACACUCUGCUUCUUCAAUGACGUUUGUGUUCCUAGAAUCCAUUUCCCUCAAUCAGGCCCUGGCCACGAAGAGCCCUGCCUACCGAUCUUCUGUACUAGCCCAGCACGUGUGGAUUCAUCUGCACGACAGACAUCAUGGGGCACCUUCUGUGAGCAGGCGCUGGGGAGACAAGGCCAGCCCACCUCAGUUCCCAUGGUACUCGGAGACAGCAAGCCAGGCCACCCCAGCACGGUGAGGUGGGCACUGUGUUCACCGAUAACAGCGGACGAAGGUU